AAUGAACGCUGGCGGCAGGCCUAACACAUGCAAGUCGAACGAGGCAGCAAUGCCUAGUGGCGGACGGGUGAGUAACGCGUGGGAACGUGCCCCUUGGUACGGAAUAGCCCUGGGAAACUGGGAGUAAUACCGUAUGUGGUCGAGAGACGAAAGAUUUAUCGCCAAGGGAUCGGCGCGCGUUGGAUUAGGUAGUUGGUGGGGGAAUGGCCUACCAAGCCGACGAUCCAUAGCUGGUGUGAGAGGAUGAUCAGCAACACUGGGACUGAGACACGGCCCAGACUCCUACGGGAGGCAGCAGUGGGGAAUCUUAGGCAAUGGGGGAAACCCUGAUCUAGCCAUGCCGCGUGAUCGAUGAAGGCCUUAGGGUUGUAAAGAUCUUUCAGUGGGGAAGAUAAUGACGGUACCCACAGAAGAAGCCCCGGCUAACUCCGUGCCAGCCGCCGCCGUAC
rnacentral:rRNA from 1 species